rnacentral:rRNA from 1 species
GGAGUUAGCCGGUGCUUCUUCUGUGAGUGAUGUCCUUCCUGCCGGUUAUUGACCCGCAGGCCUUCUUCCUCACUGAAAGUGCUUUACAACCCGAAGGCCUUCUUCACACACGCGGCAUGGCUGGAUCAGGGUUGCCCCCAUUGUCCAAUAUUCCCCACUGCCUGCCUCCCGUAGGAGUCUGGGCCGUGUCUCAGUCCCAGUGUGGCUGAUCAUCCUCUCAGACCAGCUACGGAUCGUCGCCUUGGUGAGCCGUUACCUCACCAACCAGCUAAUCCGACAUAGGCUCAUCCGAUAGCGCGAGGCCCGAAGGUCCCCCGNUUUCCCCCGUAGGGCGUAUGCGGUAUUAGCCUGGGUUUCCCCAGGUUAUCCCCCACUACCGGGCAGAUUCCUAUGCAUUACUCACCCGUCCGCCGCUCGCCACCAGGGAGCAAGCUCCCCGUGCUGCCGCUCGACUUGCAUGUGUUAGGCCUGCCGCCAGCGUUCAAUCUGAGCCAGGAUCAAACUCUGA